UGUUUUAUCUGUAAUCAACAURAUAAAAAGAUCGACUCUGGGAGGAGAGGAAAGACAAAAGGAGCGUCACAGGGGUGCCACAAAGGGGGAGAGGAAAGGGGGGCAAUAGCUCCCUCCGUAAAUCUGACUGAGAAAAAUCAGUUCGCCUGUUCUUGAAGUUGGCAUCAUGUCAGUCACAUGAUUUCAACCUCCAUUUUUUUUAAAUGGGGGGAAAAUUCAUUGUGAGACUCCGUUACAAACUGUGUCAAAAGUAGAGACUUCAAACUAUACAGCGGUUUUUAAAUUGUGUCGAUAGGUUAAGAGAAGAAAACCAGAGUUACGAUAAAAGGCAUGUCUUACUAUUUUUUUUUUUCUGAAAAUGAGCGUUCCAUUUUGAAGCGUGYUGCAGCUGAAGGGAGCAGRAAACACWGUAAUCUCGUGAAAAAAACACARCUGUCCAUCGUCAGUCUCAUCUUCCUCYURAACCGAAAAAAGUAUAACCCCCCAGACCUCCUUUUUGACUGAAGCUCAAAGUUAUCUGACAAGCAGUAAAAAAUCUACAGGAAGAAGAAAAUAAAAAGAGGCGAAAUUUGAAUGGAGAUUGGCGGCAAUGAAGAGCCGGAGAAGCACGGAGGAGGAGUGCUAUGUUGCUAAAUGCGGUGGUGCAGCUCGAGGUGGAACCAGGCAUGGGACUCGUUGUUUCUUGAGGACCAGGUGGUGAGGCGCAGGUAAUGACAAGUGUUACCUGCCCGACAUAAAAAGUUACCUGAAUUUGAUCAAAUAUAAGAAAAACGUGUAGU